ensembl:lncRNA
UAGGACUCAGCCGUGAGCCUUCCAUAUAAUGGGAAGUUUGAGUUGCAGCUCCUGCUGUCACCUCCAGCUCUGCAUUCUUGUCACUGAGGCCCUGUGCCCACAUUGAGGCUUCUGCCACCUGGAUACUUCGGGCCCUGAUGGAGAGCACAUCCCACAAGUCAAACCUGUGACCCACACCCUGCAUCACGUGUGUCAAUGGCAUCCUGAAGGCUCUGAGAUGACCUCUUCCCAGGAGGGUGUCUCCAAAAGCAGGACCGAGCUGGCUGCAGUCCAAAGCCUUGAUGCAAAUACCCAGAUGCCUGAAGUUGAGCUACGGGAUAUGAGUAUCCAGGUGCCUGAAGUUGAGCUACGGGACAUGAGUAUCCAGGUGCCUGAAGUUGAGCUACAGGACAUGAGUACCCAGAUGCCUGAUGUUAUGGUUGAUGAUGCUACUACCCAGGUGCCUGAGGUUAAGUACCAUGGAAAUCAGACUGUCCCAACCAGUUCAUGAAAUUGUGGUGUUUCCUAUCCAGGAGUGAAAGCUAGGCAGGGGAUCACAUGUGAAUCUCUAAAAAAGUUGUCUUUCUGGUCUUCUGCCCUAGAAGCUGAAGGAAGAAUGUGUGGGUUGUCUUUUUCACUACCGUC